UACGAAGGGUGCAAGCGUUACUCGGAAUUACUGGGCGUAAAGCGUGCGUAGGCGGUUUGUUAAGUCUGAUGUGAAAUCCCCGGGCUCAACCUGGGACCUGCAUUGGAUACUGGCGAGCUAGAGUACGGUAGAGGGUGGUGGAAUUCCCGGUGUAGCAGUGAAAUGCGUAGAGAUCGGGAGGAACACUCGUGGCGAAGGCGGCCACCUGGACCAGUACUGACGCUGAGGCACGAAAGCGUGGGGAGCAAACAGG
rnacentral:rRNA from 1 species